rnacentral:lncRNA from 1 species
GAAUCUUCUGCUUUUAGUCUUGUCUUGGGCACCCAGUGACGGGUUCUUCUGAUCAUUAUUAUUAUUAUUGUCUGACCGUUUUCAUGAAAGCAACACCAAAGACCAUAGAGAUGUUCUGAGGAAGAUCACUAUAGUGCCUCAACUAGCUGGCAAAAUAAACAGCCAGGUUGCAGAACAACUGUUCUCAAAGAUGAGGAAAAACAACUAUUUUUUAAACAUGUCUCGGCCUUCUACUCAUUUGUUUCAAAUGAGAACCAUAAUUCACCACUACAAUGAAAAAAGGAACAAUAAAGUGAUGACCAAAUUAAGGAAGACUUUUGGAUCUAAGAUGGUGGUGAAUAUGCAUGGACAAGCUGUGUUGGGUGAAGAAAAAUACCUUAUAUGAAAUAUUAAACACUGUUUUUACAAUUGGUGGAAAGACAUUGGCCACCAAACAUAAUGUGUGUUUUGAAGUAACUGAGUUUUGGAUGUAACUUUAGAUUUGUUUGUAUUGUAACAGAAAACAUGAACAUCUCCAGUGAGGAAACCACAGAAAUUGAGAUGGAGGACACAACCCUUACAUCUGUGACAGUCCCAACCACAGAAAAUGAAAUGGUGUGUAACAUCAAACACCUGUCUGCAAAUAGAGUGUGCUGGGAUUGUCUACCAAGUCAUAGGCAAUCAGAAAUGCUUGACUGGGCCUUGAGAAUAGAGAACCCAGAUGAGACAAUUGCUGAAAUUGACAACAUUGUCCUGAAAAGAAAAGAUUUUUGGACGCUGGGUCUCAAUGAGCAGUUGGAGGCAACAAUUGCAAACAGCUGUCUUGAAGUGGUUGCAUUGGUGGCUAAAGAACAGGGAAUGGAUGUGUGGACAGCUGACGCAUAUGUUGUGGCUACCUGGUUACCUCCAAAUAAUUUGGACCCAUCACUGUCUUUUCCAUAAGAUGACAGCUAAAAUUGCACCUGGCACAUGGAUGCUACUAAAAAACAAGGUUAAUUUUGUAAUUGGGACAUAUGUCAAUCUCUUACACACAACCUAAAUAUUUUUCUUUUUCAUUUUUUUUUAAGGAUGUCCCCCAACAGAUUGGCUAUGUGGACUGUGGAUUUUCAUUCAGGGAAGACAUGGAGAUUUUUUUAGUUGAAUGCCAUGAAAAAAUGGGGUUAAAAUUGAAUUCUUCGUUUGAAGAGUGAAAAGUAUAAGACUUUCAAAAGCUUUUUUUUUUUUUUAUAUUACAAUUAAAUUUCUAAAUUUUAAUUUUAGUUCUAUUUUUGGUUGUUGAAAUGUUUUUUUUUUAUUAGUAUGUUGCACUUUUUCCAUGUUCAAUUUGAAUUUUAAAAUAAAAAGUAUUCUUGACAUCAAACGUC